UAUAUUUUAUAUAAUGCGGUGGUAUUAAGGUACCAACAAUGAACUGAAGAUUUUCUUGAUGGUCUACCCAAACUGUACAAAAAUAUGCUGGGUUUGCAAAAUGAGAAACAUCAGGAUUUCAAAGUGUGUAUGUAGAUCUACUAAUAUAGAGUAACACCUUCAGCAAAUUAAAACUCGCAAACUAUGCAACUUACACAUGUGGCUAACAUUAAAACAAAUGGCCAAGUAAAAUAAUACACACAAAUAAAUAAGAAAUAAAAUACAAAGAAUGAAGUUGCCCGAGUAGACCAGUCAGUUUUUGUAAUCAAAAACUAAAGUGAGAAUUCAAAAUCAAAUUCAAUUGAAUGUUAAAAUAGCCAAACUGG